AUCGUGACCUGAGCCGAAGUCAGACGCUUAACCGACUGAGCCACCCAGGCGCCCCGAAGUUUUCCUUUUUUAAAUCUCCUGCUUGAUGAGUCACAAAAUGCCAUUGGCACUAUAUUACUAGUCACUCUAUAAAGCAGAUGCCAAGCACAGAUGGUGAAGAUGUUCCUGGCUUCCACCACUAUCUUGACAGUCCAAAUGCAGUCAGAGAUCACUGGAGAAGGGUAUAUGCCACACCUCCCAGCUGAGACAGCAAAACCUCCAGUCUCUUUCUAAAUGCUUUCUUCAGAACAUCAGUGAUUCAGGAACUGAAAUGAGCCCUACGUUAUAAUAUUUUGUCAAUAAAAAAGACUGGGUCAAAAUCACAUUACUGUUUGAAUGAAAGGAAAGAAGAUAUAAGGAACAAAAACAGAAGUGGAGAGCAGAUGACACAACAAUGAGGAAAAGUUUUUGUUAUAAGAUGAACACAAAGCAUAUAGAAACUUGAUGUUCUGGAGGAUUAUCAAACCCCAAAUGUGAUCUAAAACUGCAUUACAAAUAGAAGCUUUAACUGAAGUGUCAGACUCCUAUCUCUGAUUUGGAAAUCCCUUUGGCUCAUCGUGAAGGAGGAGAAUGAAUUAUUUUAACCACCACAUCAUAUAAAUCUAUUACCUGUAGACUAUGCACGGCUGGUAUAUACUUUCUGUUGAUUCUCACUCAGGAAUGAAUUGCUCUCCAACUCGCUUCUCACCUCAUUCACUGUCUGCUCAAAUGCCACAGCCUUCCUGGACUAUUCCUAUAAAAAUGGCCCCACCACCAUCAUUCUUCAUCUUCUUAUCCUGUCAUGUUACUUCCUAAAAUUAUAUUAUGUGUUGUUGUUGUUGUUGUUGUUGUUGUUAGCUUUCUGACUGGCAACUAGAAUGAAAGUUCCACAAUGGCAAGGAUUUCAUCCAUGUUCCUAUGUGCCAUAUCCCCAAAGAACAGUGCCUGGCUCACAGAAAAGAUUUUUUUUUAUUUUGUUAAAUUGAUGAAUAAAUGAUGCACAAUUGAUAAUAUUCCUCUCUAAAGAAUUUAAGAUCAAUUUUAUCCAAAAUCUUACAGCUAAAUAUUUAGGGAACUAUGAAUUAAUGGCACGGUAAUAAUUAGAAAGAGCUUGAGUCAAAAUAAAUGUUAACUGUAACCAUUAAAAUUUGGAAAUAAAAUGUUCACUUGUAAUUCAGUGUCACUACCUUCCCAUUUUUCUUUAAAUAGGAAU